rnacentral:rRNA from 1 species
UCGUGGAUUGAUUUGUCAGGUUAAUUCCGUUAACGAACGAGACCGCAUGGUGUGGUGCACUCAUUUAGAAGGACCAUGUGCGCCUAGCACGAGGAAGCGCGAAGCAAUAACA